CUACAUGACGGGGUGGAGGGGAAGGGGCGAGGGUUCUGUGCCCCGUGUGUGUCUGCAAGUCGGCGACUGGUCCUCGUCGUUGUUUGUUUGAGUCUGGUGCCUCUGGUCGCCUGUCCACCUGUCUAUGCCCUGCUUGAUUGAUGGUUAUUAUGCGCACUUGUACGGCCAGAGACUACUCCAAUCUCAUGCCGCGGCCCAGCCUCAGUAGAGUGUAGAGUGUAG
rnacentral:lncRNA from 1 species